rnacentral:snoRNA from 3 species
UUGGCAGAUGACGACAAGCAAGACAGGGACUCUGCAGCGCCCCCGAUUUCAUAUCGCGGGUCGCGAAUGAUGCAUCCGUCUAUGGGAAAUCUCCGAUGCUAU